AGUGAACGCUGGCGGUAGGCCUAACACAUGCAAGUCGAACGGCAGCACAGUAAGAGCUUGCUCUUACGGGUGGCGAGUGGCGGACGGGUGAGGAAUACAUCGGAAUCUACUUUUUCGUGGGGGAUAACGUAGGGAAACUUACGCUAAUACCGCAUACGACCUACGGGUGAAAGCAGGGGAUCUUCGGACCUUGCGCGAUUGAAUGAGCCGAUGUCGGAUUAGCUAGUUGGCGGGGUAAAGGCCCACCAAGGCGACGAUCCGUAGCUGGUCUGAGAGGAUGAUGAGCCACACUGGGACUGAGACACGGCCCAGACUCCUACGGGAGGCAGGAGGGGGGAAUUUUGGACAAUGGGCGCAAGGCUGAUCCAGCCAUGCCGGGUGGAGGAAGAAGGCCUUAGGGUUGUAAAGGCCUUUUGUACGGAAAGAAAAGCAGAAGUUUAAGACCCCGGUGUUCUGACGGUACCGGAAGAAUAAGCACCGGCUAACUUCGUG
rnacentral:rRNA from 1 species